rnacentral:rRNA from 1 species
GUAGGUGGCAAGCGUUGUCCGGAAUUAUUGGGCGUAAAGCGCGCGCGGCGGUUCUUUAAGUCUGAUGUGAAAGCCCACGGCUCAACCGUGGAGGGUCAUUGGAAACUGGAGAACUUGAGUACAGAAGAGGAAAGCGGAAUUCCACGUGUAGCGGUGAAAUGCGUAGAGAUGUGGAGGAACACCAGUGGCGAAGGCGGCUUUCUGGUCUGUAACUGACGCUGAGGCGCGAAAGCGUGGGGAGCAAACAGGGAUUAGAUACCCUGGUAGUCCACGCCGUAAACGAUGAGUGCUAAGUGUUAGGGGGUUUCCCGCCCCUUAGUGCUGCAGCUAACGCAUUAAGCACUCCGCCUGGGGAGUACGGCCGCAAGGCUG